AAAAACCACACACACACAUACUGAAUAUACCCAACUAAGACGACUCUUCAACUUUUUACUAAUAACUGAGUUGUUGUGGUGACAAAUAAACGGGUUACUCCCAUAUUUCAACCAUCUUUGCCCUAGUCUCUUACCGGACACCCUGUGUAACCAGCAUAACCCUGAACAAAACAACAACAACAACAAAAAGAAUCACAUCCCCAGUUGACGAGUGUGAACAGAAGGGAGGGAGUGGAGCACAGGAGAGAAAGAGGGGGACGAGCAACUGUCAUCUGUCAGCGGCCCAUGAUGUUCUCACUAAAUAUCAGGGCGAAAUAGUAGGAUUUUUAUUGCUGACAAAGUUAAAUUCAGAUGAAUUAUGAAUACAAUAGCUUACACACACAGCACAAGGAAGCUUGAUUUCAAAUGGUACAUUGAAUUAAAACAGACAAGUAAAUAGUAAUGAAAUAAGAACAAAUAAACAAAUGAACAAAAGCCACCCUCGCGCCAUAGCAUGUGACAGGAAGAGACGAUGAGUCGUUUUGAAGGGGGAGGGGAGGUUAAUGUUUUUGAUUAAAGAUUAUGAGGGCACAUGAAUUUUAAAAAAAAUAAUGAAGUUUACGGAUAAAUUGUUGAUAAUAAAUACUACAAUAAUCCAUAAAAAAAAAUAAGAAUUGUCAAUUUUGAUUUCAUGCCAACUUUAAAUGUUAAUCGUAUCUCCUUACUGAGGAGCAGCUCAUGUGUUCAAUCAUUUACAGAUCAAUCACUCAAUCACCUCAACUCAACAAACACUUGAACAUAGAAAAAUAUGAUUUCUACACUUCAUUUAGGCCUGGGACACACUAGAUGAUUCAGUCGGACCGCGAGACCACACACCUGUUGAUUGUAGGAACGAUUUCACAGCGAGACGAGAUCUCACAGAGACUCACGAGAUCAAACGAGACUUGAGAAGAAAAACAAAUGGAAGACAAUCGACGCUGUCAGCUGACUCUCCUGCCACGUGUUGUUUUAAUGAAUGUUUGGUCCUCCAUACUGCAGGUGUGUGAUGUGACGAUGUGUGAAUCCUCAUGUUCUGUUGUUUAUGCGGCUAUUUGCACAUGUAAAGCUAAACCCCUGGAAAAAACAUUAUUUUAUGGUAUUUUUAAUGGGUCACAAACACCCUUCUAUUCUAAUUUAAUUUUAAUUUGACAUUCUAAUCUUAACGGUUUAUGAUCGACUAAUGAGCUUCAGUUGUUAUCAGGAAAAUAAUCUAAAUUAUCAAAAUGCUCUCAUUACAAUUCUCCACCAGAUUUACAAUGCGACUUGAUAAAAUAAAUGAUUCAUUUUUAAUAAAAUUCAUUUUUUCCUCCUUAAUUUAUUAUUUUCUGCUUUUGUUUUAAUUAUUUAUGCAUUCAUUUUUUUUAUAUUUAUUUAUUCCAAUAUGUAUUUAUUUCCAAAUUUAUUUAUUUCAACAUUUUUUUUUUUAUUUUUUUUUUUUUUCAUAUUUAUUCUUACAUUUCUUUGUCAUGUAUGAUAAUUAGGUGGGUUGGUCUUGCUUACCAUUGGUUCAUCAUUGAUUGAAGCGCGUGCUCGAUUACUCUGUAUUUGCAGUGACAGGUUGUAGCUCUCGCGUGUUAUUCACCUUAUUUUCGCGACAACAGGGUGACGUCAUUGCGUUGGUUUUGUCAUCUUACUUCCUGCUGAGAGGGACCUAAACUAGUCGCUAGUCGUAAUCCUAUAGCUGUAACGGUAGAUUAGAUUAAGCGGUCGGAGUGUUGCGGUGCACUUUACAAUUCACACCCACCACCUUAAGACGAGGAGCACCUGAGGCAAUGGCUGAAGGUGCUAAACUUGAAGUGCCCUUAUGUGUGUUCGUACCAUUUCAUGGACGGGAGGCCGACUGACGAACACCCUUACCCCGAGAAAUGUCUCGGCUACGAUGUUGCAGUAAAGAAGUCACGCCGGGUGCUGAACAGGUUGUCAGAUUCAGAUGCAUCGAUGAGCGUCAGUGAUGCAGUGGACAACUGUGAGGAUGAUCACAUCCACAUGUCCUGAACUGUGAUGCAGAAACACAAUGGGAGGAUCCAUCUGUCUCUGACCACAACUACACUUCAAAAUCACAACUCAACCUGAAGCCGCCUACAUCUGAUAUGAGAACACAAUGAGCCGGCGCCGUUAUACACAACUCUGCUGAGAAACAACCACCUCUGUCAGCUCACAGGGUUGACAUUGGAUGUACACUUGGGAUCAGCUCCUGAUGACUCUGAUGAAGCUGCGUCUUCAUUUAUUGCAGGGUGAUCUUGCUGAAAGGUUUGGUGUUUCAAAACCUGGUGUUGUGAUAAAUUCAUAACUGCAAAUUCAGGAUUUCUGGAAUACCUUCGUCCAGGUGAUGAAGUAAUUGCAGACAGAGGCUUCACCAUAACCGAUCUCCUCUAUGAAAGGAAGGUGAAACUUGUCAUUCCAGCAUUCACCAAGAGAGACAUGCAACUCUCAGAAGAAGACACCACCAACUCCAGGAGCAUCGCCAAGCAGUCAUAUGACUAAAAACUUCAACAAUCUUUCUUACAACAGUUCCAAUUAACCUCACCCCUAAAAUUGAUAAAAUGUAGAGAAUUUGCCCUGUGUAACCUUCUAAGCAACAUAAUUUCUGAUGUAGAG